GUGCCAGCAGCCGCGGUAAUACAGAGGUGGCAAGCGUUGUUCGGAAUUACUGGGCGUAAAGGGCGAGUAGGCGGCUUUUUAAGUCAGACGUGAAAUCCCCCGGCUUAACCUGGGAACUGCGUCUGAUACUGGAAGGCUCGAGUAUGGGAGAGGAAUGUGGAAUUCCAGGUGUAGCGGUGAAAUGCGUAGAUAUCUGGAGGAACACCGGUGGCGAAGGCGGCAUUCUGGACCAUUACUGACGCUGAUCCGCGAAAGCUAGGGGAGCAAACGGGAUUAGAUACCCCGGUAGUCCUAGCCCUAAACGAUGAAUACUUGGUGUGGCGGGUAUCGAUCCCUGCCGUGCCGAAGCUAACGCAUUAAGUAUUCCGCCUGGGGAGUACGGUCGCAAGGCUGAA
rnacentral:rRNA from 1 species